rnacentral:rRNA from 1 species
UACGUAGGGUGCAAGCGUUGUCCGGAAUUAUUGGGCGUAAAGAGCUCGUAGGCGGUCUGUCGCGUCUGCUGUGAAAACUCGGGGCUUAACCCCGGGCCUGCAGUGGGUACGGGCAGACUAGAGUGCGGUAGGGGAGACUGGAAUUCCUGGUGUAGCGGUGAAAUUCGUAGAUAUCAGGAGGAACACCGGUGGCGAAGGCGGGUCUCUGGGCCGUAACUGACGCUGAGGAGCGAAAGCGUGGGGAGCGAACAGG